GUGAGGUGAGGGCCCAAUCCAUAUAUACAGACUGCAACCCCCAUCAUCCCUCUCCAUAGGAUAGACAGGCAAAGGGACUGCUGGGACUUGCAGUCGAGCCACGGGUCACCAGUCGGGAACCAAUCCAUAAUUUAGGCAAGCUUUACCAGCUGGGCUUCUGCCUGGCAGGGGGGUUGCGUAGGAGCAGCAGAGCCCAAGCAAAGGGGGACCUUGGCAACCAGGGUGGGCCAGUGACGUGGAGGAAGCGUGGGAUUCCCCAGCAGUGGCCCAAAGGGCAAGCCAGGUCAUUGGGAGAGGAGCCAGGGCGCCCUCUGCUGGGAGGAAAGGGCAGCGCUGGGGAUGCCCAGGGGCUCAAGGCAGCCCCAGCAGCCACCAAUACUGUAUUGCCCUGUAGAUGUGACUGUAAGCUGAGCCCAUGGUGCCCCAUGUGCAGCAGCCAGCCCUCCGGAUCCGCGGGUUCAAGCAGCCAUGACUUGGAAAUCAAGGAGAAAAAGAUACACAUUGCAAAAGGCCGUUUUGCUCUCCAUUCUCUUCAAUGGGAUUUGCACAUCCAUGGAUUUUGGGGCCUGGAACCAAACCCAGCAGAUACCAAGGGUCCACUUUCUGGGUUGAGGGCAGGUUUUUGAGGCCUAAAUUAAAGAUUCUGAUGCGACCCACAGAUGAGUCAAGGGCUCAACUUAAGAGGCACGGAUGUAAAAGGAACUCUCAAUCAAAGCACUCCCAUUGACAGAUGGCCAUCCAGCCUCUGUUUAAAGACCUCCACAUAGUUCCCAGGCCGGGCUGCCGCUUGCGUCACUGAUGACACUCAGAUGAUUGACAUGCGUUUUGAAGAGGCACAAACUAGCAGGAACAACCAUCGUGCCAAAAAAGAAGGGAUUACAAGGGGAGAAUGAAAAGAUCCACUUUCAUAGCGGGAACGACAGACCUUUUGGAAUCGAUUUACCAACGCGGAGCGAAGGCGAAUUGCAAACUGGUUUAAAUCCUUGGCUGUGGCCUCCUGGCCCCAGGUAGCCAAAGCCAUCCGCCUGGUCCCUGAGCCCGCCAACCCCCGUCUCGGCCAGUCGGUCACCAUUUCGGUGAGGGAUACCCGGUACCCUUACAUCUGCUUUUGGUUCCGGGGCAACGCCUUCGACAAAAACAGAAUGAUCUUCCAGGUUGAGCUUGGAAGAGUGGUGGCCAAGCGGGGAGGCUUCACCGGCCGGGAAAGUUUGGGAAAAGACUGCUCCCUGGUCAUCCAGAACUUGCAGCCCUCGGACAACGGAGAGUUCUACCUCAUUGUGCAAGAAGGACGUCUGGGUCAGACUCAACGCUGGUCAGAUGCCUUGGUCCACCUGCAAGUUUCCUAGUGAAGAGCCUCGCUUGGAGUGCUCCAGGAUCCAUUUCAGAGAAGAUCACAACUUGGAAACCAACAUGCCAAAGAUGAAGCGCCUCUGCAUUCUCACAUGUGCCCUUCCUUCUCUUUGUUUUCUCCUUCCUUGUCCCAAAAAGAGUGAAAAAAGAAAAUGGACCUCCAAUUAAAAUGUGCAUCCUGAAAGUGCA